GAUGAACGCUGGCGGUGUGCCUAAUACAUGCAAGUCGAGCGAACAGACGAGGAGCUUACUCCUCUGACGUUAGCGGCGGACGGGUGAGUAACACGUGGAUAACCUACCUAUAAGACUGGGAUAACUUCGGGAAACCGGAGCUAAUACCGGAUAACAUGUUGAACCGCAUGGUUCAACAGUGAAAGACGGUCUUGCUGUCACUUAUAGAUGGAUCCGCGUCGCAUUAGCUAGUUGGUAAGGUAACGGCUUACCAAGGCAACGAUGCGUAGCCGACCUGAGAGGGUGAUCGGCCACACUGGAACUGAGACACGGUCCAGACUCCUACGGGAGGCAGCAGUAGGGAAUCUUCCGCAAUGGGCGAAAGCCUUACGGAGCAACGCCGCGUGAGUGAAGAAGGUCUUCGGAUCGUAAAACUCUGUUAUUAGGGAAGUACAAAUGUGUAAGUAACUAUGCACGUCUUGACGGUACCUAAUCAGAAAGCCACGGCUAACUACGUG
rnacentral:rRNA from 1 species